ensembl:snRNA U1 U1 spliceosomal RNA
CUACUUACCUGGCAGGGGAGACACACAUGAUCAAGAAGGUGGUUCACCCAGGGCGAGGCUCAGCCAUUGCACUCCGGUUGUGCUGACCCCUGCGAAUUCCCCAAAUGUGGGAAUCUCGACUGCAUAAUUUCUGGUUAGUUGGGGACUGCGUUCGCGCUCUCCCCUG